rnacentral:rRNA from 1 species
GACGAACGCUGGCGGCGUGCUUAACACAUGCAAGUCGAGGGCACUUUGGGGGCAACCCUGAAGUGACCGGCGAACGGGUGCGUAACACGUGAGCGACCUUGCCUCGUGGUGGGGGAUAGCCGGCCCAACGGCCGGGUAAUACCGCAUAAGGUGCUUCUCUCGCAUGGGAGAGGUAGCAAAGCUGUCGGGCAACCGAUGGCGCCACAGGGGGGCGGUC